UAGGGAAUCUUCUGCAAUGGACGCAAGUCUGACGGAGCAACGCCGCGUGAGUGAAGAAGGAUUUCGGUUCGUAAAACUCUGUUGUUAGAGAAGAACAGCGCAUAGAGUAACUGUUAUGCGUGUGACGGUAUCUAACCAGAAAGCCACGGCUAACUACGUGCCAGCAGCCGCGGUAAUACGUAGGUGGCAAGCGUUGUCCGGAUUUAUUGGGCGUAAAGCGAGCGCAGGCGGUCAAAUAAGGCUGAUGUGAAAGCCCCCGGCUCAACCGGGGAGGGUCAGUGGAAACUGGUUUACUUGAGUGCAGAAGAGGAGAGUGGAAUUCCAGGUGUAGCGGUGAAAUGCGUAGAUAUGUGGAGGAACACCAGUGGCGAAGGCGACUCUCUGGUCUGUAACUGACGCUGAGGCUCGACAGCGUGGGUAGCAAACAGG
rnacentral:rRNA from 1 species